GUCCACGCCCUAAACGAUGUCAACUGGUUGUUGGGAAUUCACUUUCUCAGUAACGAAGCUAACGCGUAAAGUUGACCGCCUGGGGAGUACGGCCGCAAGGUUGAACUCAAAGGAAUUGACGGGGACCCGCACAAGCGGUGGAUGAUGUGGUUUAAUUCGAUGCAACGCGAAAAACCUUACCCACCUUUGACAUGUACGGAAGUUGCCAGAGAUGGCUUCGUGCUCGAAAGAGAACCGUAACACAGGUGCUGCAUGGCUGUCGU
rnacentral:rRNA from 1 species